rnacentral:misc_RNA from 1 species
GUGAGUCAUCGAAUCUUUGAACGCAUAUGGCACCUGCUAACUUUUGUUAGAAGGUAUGCCUGUUUGAGAAUCAUAUUAUAUUUAUUUCUUUUUGUUCCUUUGAUAAUAAUGAUUGGUUGUCAUUGAUUAUUCAUUUUGAUCAUUGACGAUUGAUGACAUGACUAUUGAGGGAAACAAAUUGACAUAAUUGGACUUUUAUCAUUAAUCGUCUUGAAUUCUGUAAGGAUGACUUGUUGAUAGAUAAAACAUGGAAUGUAUUCUCAUUCAAUUAAUAUAUUUUGACAUGUCAAACCACACCCC